rnacentral:lncRNA from 1 species
AAUACCACCCUAGCAAAAAAUUUUUGAUCUAAAACAAGCAUGUUUGCAAAAUUUCCCCCAUUCAAAUGAUUAGAAUAUUCUACACUCAACAGAAUGCUUUCAGACUAGCUUCUAAUGAAACUCUGAAAGCUAUUUGCAAAAGAAAUUAUGAAAGCAUGAAUCUCAUUUGAGACUGAGUCUGGCACUUGACUUUACUUGACACUUUUUUCUAUAUAUUUUUAUAUAAGUUCAGUUGCUCAGUCGUGUCCGACUCUUUGCGACCCCAUGAAUUGUAGCACGCCAGGCCUCCCUGUCCAUCACCAACUCCCGGAGUUCACUCAGACUCAUGUCCAUCGAGUCAGUGAUGCCAUCCAGCCAUCUCAUCCUCUGUUGUCCCCUUCUCCUCCUGCCCCCAAUCCCUCCCAGCAUCAGAGUCUUUUCCAAUGAGUCAGCUCUUCGCAUGAGGUGGCCAAAGUACUGGAGUUUCAGCUUUAGCAUCAUUCCUUCCAAAGAAAUCCCAGGGCUGAUCUCCUUCAGAAUGGACUGGUUGUUCUCCAACACCACAGUUCAAAAGCAUCAAUUCUUCAGCACUCAGCUUUCUUCACAGUCCAACUCUCACAUCCAUACAUGAC